AAGAUAUACAUUCAAGAUUAAAUAUUUUUGUGCCGUAGAUAAAGACGACAUAAACAGGGUGGCCGUUUAAACGUCAUUUAAAGGGAAUUUAGUAAGGAGUUGGAGAAAAUACUAAGGUUAUUUAGGAGAUUUCUAUGAGGGUUUUCAUUUUGCAAGUUAUUUAGGAGAUUUUUUUUGAGGGUUUUCAUUUUGCAAGUUAUUUAGGAGAUUUUUAUGAGGGUUUUCAUUUUGCAAGUUAUUUAGGAGAUUUUUAUGAGGGUUUUCAUUUUGCAAAUUAUUUAGGAGAUUUUCAUGAGGGUUUUCAUAUUGCAAGUUAUUUGGGAGAUUUUUAUGAGGGUUUUCAUUUUGCAAGUUAUUUAGGAGAUUUUUAUGAGGGUUUUUAUUUUGCAAGUUAUUUGGGAGAUUUUUAUGAAGGUUUUUAUUUUGCAAGUUAUUUAGGAGAUUUUUAUGAGGGUUUUCAUUUUGCAAGUUAUUUAGGAGAUUUUUAUGAGGGUUUUCAUUUUGCAAGUUAUUUAGGAGAUUUUUAUGAGGGUUUUCAUUUUGCAAGUUAUUUAGGAGAUUUUUAUGAGGGUUUUCAUUCUGCAAGUUAUUUGGGAGAUUUUUAUGAAGGUUUUUAUUUUGCAAGUUAUUUAGGAGAUUUUUAUGAGGGUUUUCAUUUUGCAAGUUAUUUGGGAGAUUUUUAUGAAGGUUUUCAUUUUGCAAGUUAUUUAGGAGAUUUUCAUGAGGGUUUUCAUAUUGCAAGUUAUUUG